rnacentral:rRNA from 1 species
GCCAAAAACCUAGCCCCAAACUGCCUCUGGCCCCCACACAUUAUAACCAAUGAACCAAAACAUUCAUAAAAUUUAGUAAAGGCGAUUGAAAAAUUAACUGGCGCAAUAUAUUUAGUACCGCAAGGGAAAGGUGAAAUAAAAAUGAAAAAUACUUAAGCACAGCAAAGUAGAGACUUUUCCUCGUACCUUUUGCAUCAUGGUUUAACUAGUCUAACCAAGCAAAAAGACUUAAAGUUUGACUUCCCGAAACUAAGCGAGCUACUUCAAGGCAGCCUAACGGGCGACCCCGUCUCUGUUGCAAAAGAGUGGAAAGACCUUCAAGUAGAGGCGACAUACCUAUCGAGCUUAGUGAUAGCUGGUUACUCAAGAAACGGACUUUAGUCCAACCUAAAGUUAAUUAAAUCAUACAAAAUGCUGUCAUAACUUUAGAGCAAUUCAAUUAAGGUACAGCCUAAUUGAAACAGGAUACAACCUCAACUAAUGGGUUCUACGCCUAGUAAGACCAAAUUAAGUGGGCCUAAGAGCAGCCACCUUUCAAAAAGCGUCGAAGCUUAACCACCUCCUACUUUAAUCCCCAACCUCACACCCAACCCUUUUUCAGUAAUGAGUAAUUCUAUACUAUUAUAGAAAUUUUUAUGUUAAAACUAGUAACAAGAAGAUGAGCCUUCUCUUAAAUGCAAGCGUAAGCCAGAAAGGACACACCACUGGCAAUUAACACCCAUGAGCUGUUAAUAACAACACUAUAAAAAACUCCUAUUUACCAAUAUGUUAACCUGACACAAGAGCAUUAAAAGAAAGAUUAAAAGGAAAAGAAGGAACUCGGCAAAUAUCAACCUCGCCUGUUUACCAAAAACAUCGCCUCUUGAACAAAUAUAAGAGGUCCCGCCUGCCCAGUGACUCUGUUAAACGGCCGCGGUAUCCUAACCGUGCAAAGGUAGCGUAAUCACUUGUCCUUUAAAUGGGGACUAGUAUGAACGGCAUCACGAAGGUUGCACUGUCUCCUUUUCCCAAUCAGUGAAACUGAUCUCCCCGUGAAGAAGCGGGGAUACCAAUAUAAGACGAAAAGACCCUAUGGAGCUUUAAACAAAGUAACAACCGCCACCUCUGAUCAAACUCCAGAGUAUUAACCACCAUUCCAGCGACAUGAUUACUAGUUUUAGGUUGGGGUGACCACGGAGAAUAAACUAACCUCCGUAUUGAGGGCCUUUCCCCCAAGCAAAAAGCCACGACUUUAUGCAUCAAUAAAUUGACAUCAAUUGACCCAAUAUUUUGACCAAUGAACCAAGUUACCCUAGGGAUAACAGCGCAAUCCAUUUCGAAAGCCCCUAUCGACAAAUGGGUUUACGACCUCGAUGUUGGAUCAGGGUAUCCCAGUGGUGCAGUCGCUACUAAAGGUUCGUUUGUUCAACGACUAAGACCCUACGU